AAAAACUCCGGUGGUAUGAGAUGGACCCGCGUCUGAUUAGCUGGUUGGCGGGGUAACGGCCCACCAAGGCGACGAUCAGUAGCCGACCUGAGAGGGUGACCGGCCACAUUGGGACUGAGACACGGCCCAAACUCCUACGGGAGGCAGCAGUGGGGAAUAUUGCACAAUGGGGGAAACCCUGAUGCAGCAACGCCGCGUGAGUGAAGAAGUAUUUCGGUAUGUAAAGCUCUAUCAGCAGGGAAGAAAAUGACGGUACCUGAGUAAGAAGCCCCGGCUAACUACGUGCCAGCAGCCGCGGUAAUACGUAGGGGGCAAGCGUUAUCCGGAUUUACUGGGUGUAAAGGGAGCGUAGACGGCGAUGCAAGUCUGAAGUGAAAGCCCGGGGCUCAACCCCGGGACUGCUUUGGAAACUGUAUGGCUGGAGUGCUGGAGAGGCAAGCGGAAUUCCUAGUGUAGCGGUGAAAUGCGUAGAUAUUAGGAAGAACACCAGUGGCGAAGGCGGCUUGCUGGACAGUAACUGACGUUGAGGCUCGAAAGCGUGGGGAGCAAACAGGAUUAGAUACCCUGGUAGUCCACGC
rnacentral:rRNA from 1 species